rnacentral:rRNA from 1 species
UACGUAGGGGGCAAGCGUUGUCCGGAUUUAUUGGGCGUAAAGAGCGUGUAGGCGGUUCGGUAGGUCCGUUGUGAAAACUCGAGGCUCAACCUCGAGACGCCGAUGGAAACCAUCAGGCUAGAGUCCGGAAGAGGAGAGUGGAAUUCCUGGUGUAGCGGUGAAAUGCGCAGAUAUCAGGAAGAACACCCGUGGCUAAGGCGGCUCUCUAGUACGGUACUGACGCUGAGACGCGAAAGCGUGGGAGCGAACAGG